rnacentral:lncRNA from 1 species
CACAAGAGAGCAGAGAAAAUAAACUGGGUCGCCAGAAGAAUGAAUACUUUACUGCCUUCCUGCCAUCCCGCAGACCCCCAGCGUCACCCACCAUCCCAAAAGGCAUCUGCUGGAUGAUCAGUUCAAAUGAUACUUCAUGGAAACCAACCAAGUGCUCAGAGACAGAAAGAGAGAGAAGAGAUAACACCUGCAUAUCUACAAAGAUAAAGCAGAAACUGAGAACUAGACUUGAUCCUACAUUUUAUGCUGACACCUUAACUCUUUGUCAAAGGCUAUUCCAAUCUGUAAUGGAAGGAAUUCAGGGAUGCCUUCCCUUUCUGUGUGCAUUGUAUAAAGAUAGAAUUGGAGAUUCGCUGGCAGAAAUACCCUCAGCUGCCUCUCUGGUCUUUUCCAGCAACUCCCAGAAGAGCCCUGAUCUCAGGGCUCUUGUCUGCCCCAAGCCUGGGAAGCUUUGCUCAGGGAAAGAAGAACAGAGGGAACUGGGCUGCAACGGAGAUGGUGUUAAUUGGAGCAAAAGAUUUUGCCUACUGGAAAUAGUAGCUGUAAGCGAGAUGAGAUCCAAAGAACCCAGUGAAACUCUUCGGGCCUGCCUGCAGCCUGGCUCCUCCAGGGAAGACAAGACUGAACCCCCAUUGAGGCAAGGCAAAAAAGGC